AUACGGAGGGUGCAAGCGUUAAUCGGAAUUACUGGGCGUAAAGGGUUCGUAGGCGGUUAUUUAAGUCAGAUGUGAAAGCCCCGGGCUCAACCUGGGAAUUGCAUCUGAUACUGGGUAACUAGAGUUUAAGAGAGGAGUGUGGAAUUUCCGGUGUAGCGGUGAAAUGCAUAGAGAUCGGAAGGAACACCAGUGGCGAAGGCGGCUCACUGGCUCGAUACUGACGCUGAGGUGCGAAAGCGUGGGUAGCAAACGGGAUUAGAAACCCCGGUAGUCC
rnacentral:rRNA from 1 species